GCCAGUGUGGCAUAACAGUUUGAGCACUGGACUCGGACUCUUGAGUGACCAGGGUUCAAAUCCCAGCUCAGCCA